ensembl:snRNA U6 U6 spliceosomal RNA
UGUCUCACUUCGGCAGCAAUAUACUAAAGUUUGGAGUGAUACAGAGAAGAUUAGCAUGACCCCUGUGCAGAGAUGACAUGCAAAAUCAUGACGUAUUCCAUAUUUAA